CUUGGGUGAGGAUGGAACUGUGUGGUCAGCCAAAUGGACCACUGUCUAGUCAAGUGGGACAAGUGAUGCUCAUUUCCUGGAUUGGCUGAAAAUCCAACCAGGCCCUCACCAGGAAAUUCGCUUCAUUGCUCCACAGCCGUUCUUGGAAGAAGUUGACUUGUUUGAGCACAUCGCUUUUCCCAGUGUCUUCAUCAGCAUGAAGUCCAAACACUACAACGUGGAGUAGAUGAGCUUUCACAGUGGAGCCUAAUCCUGCCUCUACAGCCUUCCCUCUCCCGACCUCUGGCCACUGCAGCACCUCACCACUGGCCACACAAAGGACACUCAUCUUUUGUUCCCUGCAUAUCACCUGUGCCCUUUCAUGCCUUGGGCUCUGCUCUUGUUCCUCCUUCUGCCUGCAGUGCUCGCCUACCACUGACCGCUUCUGAUCUGCUUUACGGACUCCUGUCCUUCUUUCAACGAAGUCCCUUAAAGCCUAUAUUUCCUCUAGGAGUUUCCUUGAUUUCCCUGGACACAGGCAAAAAUUCCUGGCAGAAUGCCUGUUGCUCAAUACAUAGCCACAUAGCCAUGAUGAAGAUGAUGACAAUGGUGACAGCCACAGUGACAUCAGUGCCAUUUGGAUAUUUCAGGUGCUGCCCUCCAAAGAGUAAAAAAUCCAUCCUAUAAAAGGAUGGUCUGGUCCACCUCGCAUCUGAUCAUACCCACAAUUCUCAACCCAG